AGGGAAUCUUCGGCAAUGGACGGAAGUCUGACCGAGCAACGCCGCGUGAGUGAAGAAGGUUUUCGGAUCGUAAAGCUCUGUUGUAAGAGAAGAACGAGUGUGAGAGUGGAAAGUUCACACUGUGACGGUAUCUUACCAGAAAGGGACGGCUAACUACGUGCCAGCAGCCGCGGUAAUACGUAGGUCCCGAGCGUUGUCCGGAUUUAUUGGGCGUAAAGCGAGCGCAGGCGGUUAGAUAAGUCUGAAGUUAAAGGCUGUGGCUUAACCAUAGUACGCUUUGGAAACUGUUUAACUUGAGUGCAAGAGGGGAGAGUGGAAUUCCAUGUGUAGCGGUGAAAUGCGUAGAUAUAUGGAGGAACACCGGUGGCGAAAGCGGCUCUCUGGCUUGUAACUGACGCUGAGGCUCGAAAGCGUGGGGAGCAAACAGGAUUAGAUACCCUGGUAGUCCACGCCGCAAACGAUGAGUGCUAGGUGUUAGACCCUUUCCGGGGUUUAGUGCCGCAGCUAACGCAUUAAGCACUCCGCCUGGGGAGUACGACCGCAAGGUUG
rnacentral:rRNA from 1 species